UCAUCAGCUGGCUUUCCAUGUGUAAUGAAUUAUUGUAACACUUUAUUGAUUGCUAUUAAUUAAGCGUGUAUAGUGUGGGUUCAACAGGAAUAGGUGUAAAAGUACGAACCCACUUUCAGAUGUCAAAAGUGAGCAUGUGAGCUAUAAGGUUGGUGAGAAUAAACUUGGUCGAUCACUUGGUUUGUGACUGACAAGGUGAACAGACGUUUUUUAUUUAGUUCGUCCGCUAAGGUAGUCCGUAUAAAUAAAUUUAAAAGUGGCGACAAGGAAAAAUAGUUUUUUUUAUCGCGUGUGCUAGAUUUUCACGAGUGGUUCCAGUUUGAAUUCCAGGCAAUUCGCGGCACAGGAGUGCACCGGCGAAAGGUUUUUACCACGACGGUUCGGUGGCGUCGUUUUAGCGGCAGGGUGGCCAGUUCUUUUUGGUACCGUAGGCCGAACAAUAGUACAAAGCCGGUCGUUAGCGACGCAAUUGUGCCCUGGCCAAACGGUUGGCGCGCUAGAGAAUUUCGUGGCAGGUUUUUGGCCACCAGGAAAGAGUGCAACAAAUUUCUAGGGCGAGCCAAAAAGUUUCUGGAAGGCAAAAGGAAAGCAGAGGGAGACAAAGAAAUAUAAGCUUCUGGCCAGCGAGCAGGCUCAACGAAGAAUCGACGUUUCCGGUACUGAAGAUCGCGAUCGGAUCAGUAUUGAUCUCGGCCCACAGGGGGCAGAUUAGAAUUGCUGAUAAAGCUGAACGCAGGCGCAAUGUGGCGUUUCAGUUGGCGGAGAUACCCGUACCCAGGGCAAGACAAGGUACAAAGAGGCAGUUUGACGACUCCGAAGACGACGAACCAUUUCGGGGUUUCACGCCGAUACCACCGCCAGCCAGAAGUGAGGUGCAUCCUGAGGCCUUGCGAUCAGAAGAAACGGCAAGAUCGAUUAACGAAAGCGACACUAUCGAGGUUGCAACAGGAAGCUCCUUACGGAGAUCCGUGAGAGCGAGAAAGAAGAAAUUCGACGGGAAUUAUUUAUAUUACAAAUGAAAUGUGAAUUUAAAUUAUUUUGUAAAAUAGUUUCGAAGAUAGGCUAUUUCGGGAAUUCUUAUCCUUAUCUGAAAUGUUACUAUAGGAUAUUAGUGAAGAAUUUUCCGAGUUGUAUAAAUUGUUCAAGUAACUUAAGAGGGAAGGAUUUGUAAUGAAUUAUUGUAACACUUUAUUGAUUGCUAUUAAUUAAGCGUGUAUAGUGUGGGUUCAACAGGAAUAGGUGUAAAAGUACGAACCCACUUUCAGAUGUCAAAAGUGAGCAUGUGAGCUAUAAGG